rnacentral:rRNA from 1 species
CGUCUAUAUACGUAUAGCAUAUCAAUAAGCGGAGGAAAAGAAACUAACAAGGAUUCCCUUAGUAACGGCGAGUGAAGCGGGAAGAGCUCAAAUUUGAAAUCUUCAAGGUUCUACCUUGACGAAUUGUAGUUUAAAGAAGUGUUUUCUGUUAGAGGAGUAGCAAAAGUUCCUUGGAAUAGGGACAUCAUAGAGGGUGAGAAUCCCGUAUUUGGUUAUUCUUUCUAGCUGUGUGAUACACUUUCAGAGAGUCGGAUUGUUUGGGAAUGCAGUCCAAAAUGGGUGGUAAAUUUCAUCUAAAGCUAAAUAUUGGCGAGAGACCGAUAGCGAACAAGUACCGUGAGGGAAAGAUGAAAAGAACUUUGAAAAGAGAGUUAAACAGUACGUGAAAUUGUCAAAAGGGAAGCGUUUGACACCAGUGUUGUUUUUCCGAAAAUCAAUUAAGAGUGGCUUGAUUUUGUGUUGUAUUGACCUUAUCAGCUUUCUUCACUCUUUUUCGAGUCUUUCUUAAUGCACUUUUCGGUUAACAAGUCAACAUCAAUUUCUUUUGUUGUAAAAGGGUAUUUGGAAGGUGGCUUUCUUUUCGGAGAAAGUGUUUAUAGCCUUAUACCUCUACAAUCGGAGAGAUUGAGGUCUGCAGCGUAGAUCCUUCGGGGCUAGAUACACUUGUGCUAAGUUAUAGCUUUUCAUAGACAACUUGUUGACUAUGUUUAGUCAUGUAGCUUACCCGCUUGUGCUAUUCUACCUACGCUUAGGAUGUUGAGUCAUCACACAUCUAU